rnacentral:rRNA from 1 species
UCCCAGACUCCUACGGGAGGCAGCAGUGGGGGAUAUUGCACAAUGGGGGAAACCCUGAUGCAGCGACGCCGCGUGUAGGAAGACGGUCCUCUGGAUUGUAAACUACUGUCCCCAGGGACGAAGAUGACGGUACCUGGGGAGGAAGCUCCGGCUAACUACGUGCCAGCAGCCGCGGUAAUACGUAGGGAGCGAGCGUUGUCCGGAAUUACUGGGUGUAAAGGGAGCGCAGGCGGAUUGACAAGUUGGGAGUGAAAACUACGGGCUCAACCCGUAACCUGCUUUCAAAACUGUCAGUCUUGAGUGGUGUAGAGGUAGGCGGAAUUCCCGGUGUAGCGGUGGAAUGCGUAGAUAUCGGGAGGAACACCAGUGGCGAAGGCGGCCUACUGGGCACUAACUGACGCUGAGGCUCGAAAGCAUGGGUAGCAAACAGGAUUAGAUACCCCGGUAU